CGUUCAACUAUCGCGAACAAUUAUGUACGGGAAAAAAAGUAGUUUUCGCGCCUAUCAAGGGCCUCUGGAUUUUUCCGAAUUUAACGCCCACUAAGAGAUCGCUUUUUGACUGCUACAACAGCCAUCAUGCAAUCAAAACAAGACGUGAAUCGCAUAAAUAAAUUUUGGCUACGAUAAGUCGGCUGCCGAAAAGACGCCGAUAGGCUUCCCUUCUUCAUUUGCGAGCUCAUAUGAGCUAGUUCCUACCCGAGCCCGAAUGACGCAAGGGACAUAUAAUGCAUCGAGCUUGGAGUUAUAAUUGUCCACCGCGGAAGAUUGACGAAAAUUUCUGCGCCAAACUUUUUGCCCCACCGAGUAAAUAGGGGCGGCUUGUUUUGAACGCAGGUGAUAAUUUUUAAUAUUUUUCUCGUGUGCUUUCCUCAAAUUUUUCAUUACCAUAGAGUAAAUUUUUUCAUCCACCUGCCCCUUUCUCCUUACCCUCUCGUCAUCUGCAAUCUCUUCCAUGUCCCGAUCUACCCGGUGUUCGUCCCCCUUUUCUAUUAUUUCAUGUCCGAAAAGGAUCCUGUAUGGAGAAAAUCCCGUAGCAGAGUGCGGGGUGCUAUUUAGGCAAAAUUCAAUUUGCGAUACCCGUGUGUCCCAUAGCUUUUGAUCCUGUGUCACGUAGGACCUUAUGCAUGAGUUUAUAGUACGGUUCAACCGUUCCACAGGAUUGGCUUGACUAUGGUGUCGAGAAUUGGUCCAGUGUUGUACACCAUACUUUGUUAGUAGAGCCUUGAACUCUUUGGAGAGGAAAGUCGUAGCAUUGUCCGAGAUCAGGAACUCUGGGACUGAAUAUCGUCGAAACCAACUUUCUUCCAAAAUGUUAACCACCUGGGAUGCAUUGAUCCGUUUUACGGGGACCAAUAAGCACCACUUUGAAAAUAAAUCCAUAAUCGCAAGCAAGUGUGCAUGUCCAGUUUUGCUC